UAGGGAAUCUUCCGCAAUGGGCGAAAGCCUGACGGAGCAACGCCGCGUGAGUGAUGAAGGUCUUCGGAUCGUAAAACUCUGUUAUCAGGGAAGAACAAAUGUGUAAGUAACUGUGCACAUCUUGACGGUACCUGAUCAGAAAGCCACGGCUAACUACGUGCCAGCAGCCGCGGUAAUACGUAGGUGGCAAGCGUUAUCCGGAAUUAUUGGGCGUAAAGCGCGCGUAGGCGGUUUUUUAAGUUUGAUGUGAAAGCCCACGGCUCAACCGUGGAGGGUCAUUGGAAACUGGAAAACUUGAGUGCAGAAGAGGAAAGUGGAAUUCCAUGUGUAGCGGUGAAAUGCGCAGAGAUAUGGAGGAACACCAGUGGCGAAGGCGACUUUCUGGUCUGUAACUGACGCUGAUGUGCGAAAGCGUGGGGAUCAAACAGGAUUAGAUACCCUGGUAGUCCACGCCGUAAACGAUGAGUGCUAAGUGUUAGGGGGUUUCCGCCCCUUAGUGCUGCAGCUAACGCAUUAAGCACUCCGCCUGGGGAGUACGACCGCAAGGUUG
rnacentral:rRNA from 1 species